GAUGAACGCUGGCGGCGUGCCUAAUACAUGCAAGUCGAGCGAACAGACGAGGAGCUUGCUCCUCUGACGUUAGCGGCGGACGGGUGAGUAACACGUGGAUAACCUACCUAUAAGACUGGGAUAACUUCGGGAAACCGGAGCUAAUACCGGAUAAUAUAUUGAACCGCAUGGUUCAAUAGUGAAAGACGGUUUUGCUGUCACUUAUAGAUGGAUCCGCGCCGCAUUAGCUAGUUGGUAAGGUAACGGCUUACCAAGGCAACGAUGCGUAGCCGACCUGCGAGGGUGAUGGGCCACACUGGAACUGAGACACGGUCCAGACUCCUACGGGAGGCAGCAGUAGGGAAUCUUCCGCAAUGGGCGAAAGCUUGACGGAGCAACGCCGCGUGAGUGAUGAAGGUCUUCGGAUCGUAAAACUCUGUUAUUAGGGAAGAACAAAUGUGUAAGUAACUAUGCACGUCUUGACGGUACCUAAUCAGAAAGCCACGGCUAACUACGUG
rnacentral:rRNA from 1 species